rnacentral:lncRNA from 1 species
AAAAUGGAUUCCCAGGGCAAACAACCCUUCGUCUGAAAGGCUCGAAGGUCCGAUGCGGCACAAUCAUUCCAGAGCAACGAUGACUCUGCCUUUUGCCUUGCACGUCACUACAACGGGAAGUCUGCGCGGAGCGCUAAGAACCGGAAAGCAUUUCUCUAGCCCAAGAGUAUCCCGCUUAACUUGACCACUGCACAUCUGCCGAAAGGACUGCCUGGAAAGUGUGGGGAGCCGCCCUCACAUUCGCCGUUGCAAGAUGGUGCUGACAUCCUGUGUUCUAAGUGGUAAACAAAUAAUCUGCGCAUGUGCCAAGGGUAGUUCUCCACUCCAUGUGCUCUGCCUUUCCCGUGAUGACAACUCGGCCGAUGGGCUGCAGCCAAUCAGGGAGUGACACGUCCUAGGCAGAGGAUAAUUCUCCUUAAAAGGGAUGGGGUUUCGCCAUUCUCUCUCUCUUGCUCUUGCUCUCUUGCUCCUGAAGAUGUAAGCAAUAAAGCUUUUGCCGCAGAAGAUUCUGGUUUGUUGUGUCUUUCCUGGCCGGUCGCGAACGCGUGUAAGAGUUGGUGCCGGAACCCGGGAUGAGAAAACCCAGAACGAGAACAUCACACCAGCGCAAGGAAGACCCCUCAUUCCGGAACCAGAACUGCGGGUCACGGUCAUAAAGGUUCCCGUAAAACAGACUGUUGAGAAGGAUCCGGUGUGGAUGGAACUCUUCAGCUGGGGAACGGUGGUAAUGAAGUGUUCCCGUAACAGACUGUUGAGAAGGAUUCAACUGCGUGGAUUCAGAACUCUUCAGCUGGGGAACAUAAGUACAGCUUUACAAGGAUGAAAACAACCCAUUUUGGAUACCAGAAAGACUCACCCGAAAAAUCCAGACUGACCAAGGGAAUACUAAUGCCCCUCAUCUUGGUGAUGUCCAGGGCGACAAUAACAGAGAGAUCAGCGUUGGGGGAUAAUGUCGACAUUUCCACUCCCAAUGCCGGUGGUAAGCAAUAAAGCUUUUGCCGCAGAAGAUUCUGGUUUGUUGCGUCUUUCCUGGCCGGUCGUGACCGCGUGUAAGAGAAAGAAGAAAUGACUUUAAUGCAGCCAGAAAUCUCAAAGGAGUCAGCAGAUCCCAGCGCCGCCUCCCUGCUCACAAGCACAGCAGUUAAACCCAGGACCUGGUGUACACUAUUGAGCAAGCCACUGAGCUGUCCUGCCCCGCCUUAGACCCCCAUCUCAGCCUCCCAGAUGCUGAGGAUACAGGGUCUACAAGCUGUUGAGUUUGGCUUGGCUGCAGUUACCUCUGGGCCUCACUGAAGAAGGACAGGCUUCAAAGCUCACCUAGUUCUUGGCUGAUGGCUUCAAAUUUGAGAUCCUCCUGCUUCAACUUCUGAGAACUGGAAAUAUUUCAGAGUAUCAACAUGUCAGGCUAAAUUAAUCUUUUAACACUCAGUCACAAGCUCUCUGCUCUGCUAAACACAAAAUAUGACCUCUCAUUCCUGAAAGAAAUGGAAUUUGUUUUAUGAAAAUCAUUUGCUAAUGCUUAAAUCUAUCACAUCUUGGACAUUUCUAAAGCAAACUGAGGAAAAGGUCAGUGUGAAUCCUCUUACGAAUCAAAGUCCAAGAUGUUUACAUCCUACAAAGGCCAAUCUUUGGAUACACUGCUGAGGAGUUCCUGUCUGUUAGAACAGUGCUUUCUAGUUCUGCUAGAGACUCUCCUUGUCCUUUGGGAAGGGUGAAGCUUGGGACCAGAACUUGCUAUGUUGCCCAGAAUGGGCAAUCGUGACCCUCCUGCUUUAGCUUGCUGAGGGCUGGGAUUACAGACAAAUGGCUGCACACAUGGUAGGUGGGUGACAUUGAUCAUGUGUUUAUGGCUUACCCAAAUUUACAAAGCUAAUAAGGCUUUCACUUUUUUUUUAACCAGAUAACUUUGCCAAUCACCAUUAAUACACUGUUAUACAACAUAUACAAAAUAAAUCUAUAAAUGUAUGCUUUAGUGAAUUUUUUAUACAUAAUGAGGUUUAAAAACUAAAUUGUGACAUCUUUCAUUCCUCUGCACAUUAUUAUGGCUUCUGUUGAGUGCCAGCUCCUAGACCCAAGUGGUGUGAGAACCCUUCUUUGAUUUAGCAUGUGUCUUGGACAACUUACUCAUUAAGUGAUGGAGAAAUGUGGAGAGUAACCACUGGGUCUGUGAGCUCCUUAGUUUUAUAAAUGUGUGUUAGAGUUUAACUUCAAAUUUUCCCAGCCACCUAGGUUAAAAAACAAAACAAAACAAAAACACAAGUUCCACCACAAGAGACACUUUGAAGAUCUGACCACAUUAGAAAAAAAAAACAAAAAACAAAAAAACAAAAAAACCUCAAAAAACCCUCCAAAUCUCAGCAUCUGAACUGAUAUGAAAAACAUCUGAAAAAUAUCAAUACCAUGCGACCUUCCAAAGAGCUGAGCUGUCUGUAAAGCCUGGAUCUCUUUAACAAUGAAGCCACUAACCACAAAGGAUCAUCCUGCUGGAUCCAAAUGCCUGUGACUGCAGGGGAGGCCACUGACUAAGAAGCAGAGGUUGAUGGUGUGGGUGAAGGGGACC